CGAUGACGUCAUGUAAACAAACGUGGCAGCGCGGGCCGUGGCAAAGCUCCCGUGGCCCUCCCUCACUCUGGUCACUGGCACGGUGGGUUAGUGUGGCCCCUCCCUCACCCUGGUCACUGUCACGGUGGGUUAUGUUUAAUAACGACGUGGAUAUGACUCGUGACUUCAUGUUCAAAUAUUCUAACAAAGACUUUAUAUACACAACAAGCAGUGAACAUGGGCUAGAUAAAAUGUCUCCAUUUGAUUCAUUAUUACUGAAAAAAUGGGAGGCAGCAAGGGAUGCUGCUUUAUUUAAUUACCAAGUUGAUGAUGUCGAAACAAAAAUAAUACCAGGAAAGUAUAAACUUGUUGCUCAGAUGAAUGCCAAUCGGAAAACGAUGAGGAGAAAACCACAAAAUAUUUUCAAUGUUACACAGCCAUUUGAUCCUGAAACUUUCAAUUUCACUAAGAUCAAGAAACAAGAAAUUCUUGCAAGACUUCUCUACAAUCAGAUAUCUCCAGAGGUGAUUGAUGGGGAAGAAAUAGCAGGCAAUGGAAGAAGUGGGUUGGAAGGGAGCCUGACUAUCAACACGGCACCAAUCUGUUACAGCCACAGUUUACUUGUGCCAUUUUUGGCCCGGUGUCGACCUCAGGUGGUAAGCGAGGAAGGCCUCCUGCUUGCUCUCCACUCAAUUCUCCUCUCACAGACACCAGAUCUUAGAAUUGCUUUUAAUUCUCUUGGUGGCUAUGCAUCAGUGAACCAUCAGCACUUCCACAUCUAUUACCUGCCCCACGAACUUCACAUUGAGACUGCUGAAUGUCUGAGACUGGCUGGACCUUGUUAUAUCUUCAAGGACUACCAUGCUCCCGGUUAUGUUUUUCAGCUUGAAAAUGGGGCCGUUGACGAGUUAACCAGGUCUGUAAUGAAAGUCAUAAAACUGUUCCACCGUGAAGAGAUGGCUCAUAAUUUAUACAUCACUCGUGGUACGUCUCUGGAUGGUAACUCCAUUGCUGGCAGAUAUGACACAAUAAGAGUUAUUCUCUGGGCUCGCAAACUCUGCUAUGGUAGGUUACUUGUAUGUUUGUCUAGCAAUGAAAUUUGUUCUAAAAUAAGUAUUAUUAAACACAACCAUCUCUUUCAUGUAAGAUCUGUGGUUGUAUCACAAAUGCCAAGUAAAUUUGUUACACCAGACCUUCCUGUUGGAAAGCCAUACUGUCUUGUCUGUUAUUAUGUCAUUUGUCCAAGAAAUCUACUAUUUUGUUUGAAUUAUCUUUUCCAAUGAUGUGACUUACAAUGAUACAGAUUUAUAAUUUUGACUUUGCUAUCAACAUUUGUAUAGAUUGGUACAAUGUUGGCAUUUUCCAUAUGUUUGCUAGGAUUGCCUGUUUGUAGUGGAAUGUUGUGCGUGGGGUGUGUGUUCUUUCAUAACCCAAGGUCCAACUCCAUCUAGUACAUAUAGUUAGGCCAUAACUCUGGGUUAUGCCCUAGAUUCCCUAUUGUGUUUGGAUGUUGAAAAACCUUGUUUUACACAAACACACUUUGAAAUUGUUCAUUUAAUGUUUCACACAUUUCUUUUUUGGUCUCUGAAUCUGUUUCUUAUUAUUAAUCUCAGGUUUUUAUAUUUUACUUGCAAUUUGCUUCUUAAAAAUUUAUAUUAUAGGCUGGGAUCUGUUUUAUAUUUUUCUGGUAUCCCAUUUUCAACGUUUCUAUAUGUAGUCUCAUUUCAGUGUAUUUGUUUUGUGCCUGAGAGCUACUCACAAUAAGCUAACUGGAACAAACUGCAUGAGGCUGACUGGAUAUUUGUGACGCCUGAGAACUAUCUGCACCAGGCUGACUGGCCAUUGACCCGACACCUGAGUGCAACACAAGGUUUAACAUAAUUAGGUUUGAACUGCAAAAUGUAUUAAUAUUACUGAGACUCAUCAUCUACAUAAUGGGGCUGAAGAUAUGAUGACCAAAUCACACAUGAGGAAAUGAAGAAACUAGGCUUUGGUCUGUUCUGGACCAUUAUCACGAUUUUAAAUUAAUUGUUCAGGACGGCCCAAACACCGUUCUUUCUUUGUUUUUUUAUGUGUAGUUUGAUCAUCAUGUAUUAACCUUAAACUUUAUUACAGGUUAAUAGGUUUGGGUAAAAAACUAGUAUGGCCAUGUUUGUGGUUUAGUUUUACUUGCUCUUGAGAAACACUACCUUCAUAGAAUAGUUUACUCUAUUUCUGGGGGAAGCCUCUUGUUUCUCUCUGAACGUAACUACCCACUGAGAAGGGAAAGAUACGGAAACACACCAGGGAGGAGGAAGCACUGCAGAAGAUGCGACGAGGAUGAGACCCCCAGCCCAGACACAUGACCAAAGCCACACAAGGGUGCCGAAAUCCAGAAACAUUAACCAGAUACCAGGCUGCCAGAACCCUGUUCAACCUCCAAAACCCCUGCGCCCAAAUAUCAGCCCAGGACAUGUUCGCAAACACCGCUGAAAUAGUGGCAUACUUCCCAACAUGCUAUCAACAUUUGUAUAGAUUGGUACAAUGUUGGCAUUUUCCAACGUAGUGUACUGGUUCCCAACAUCUUGCACACAAGGGUAGAUCACAAGUAGCUAGAUCCCAUAACACUGCAGACAACCUGGGAAGGAUAAACCAUGGUAUAGACCCAUAAAGUGGCAAAAAUAAAAGUCAGUGCUCCCUGCACCUCUGUGAGAAGGUUUGGUUCUAGCACUGGUCCCUGGUAGGCCUACAGACUGAUGUGACCUAGUUGAGGGUACCCUCUUGGUAUAUAGUAAGGGAGGGACCUGGACUUGCCCAGAAAUUGGCAUUUUGUUACAUUCAACACUGGAUUUUUGUGAGAAAUGUUAUUAAUAUACUGUUCUGUACAUUUUCUUUUUCAUGUGCAGGUAUAAAGGAUAUUACUGUAUUUGCUGCUGCAGCCUGUGAACUUGCUGGGCAUGUACCCAUAUACUCAAGUGAACAUUGGAGCGGCCUGUCGGAGGAAGCUAUCACCCACACUACAAAAAGUGUGUGUGAAGACCAUUUUGUAGCCAUGA